CGAAAAACUCAGUACGCAUCACAGAUUUGUUAAUGUUCUGUAACACAUUUACAUUUUACAUUUAUUAAUUUAGCAGACUCCAAAGCGAUGUACAUCUGGAAAAAAAAUACAAUCUGUGCAUAAGAGAGAGAGAGAGAGAGAGAGAGAGAGAGAGAGAGAGAUGGCUGCAGACAUGUGACCUUAUUUAAACCUAGCUGAAACACACUGUGUUUCACCAGUGAAGCCCUACAACUACUCGCGACUCCCCCGUGGGACAAGUGCGCCAAAGCUCUCUCCCGGAAGCGUGUGACGCAAUUGGAAUGAAAAGCGCGCGUGGCGGAUGGGUGGCGUUCAGUUCUUUUCCUGCGAUACUGGUGGAUACUUCGGGAAAGUACAUAUAGUCAUUUCUAGAGCUUCCAGCUGUUGACCAACAAUGUCUGGUAAUCUACCUUUAGAGACAAACACACAUCCUGCUGCAACAUCUGAGGGGUCCAUUAGUGUUACUAAUGGUUCUGUGGUCACUGGAUCCCGGUUGACUAGCUGUAUAGUUGGAGGCUCCGUCACCAACCGUGUCAGAGCUCUGUUAUCUGCUAGUGGAAAUCAGACUUCCCUGAACUCUACCACCAGCAGUCCUUCUAGAAGUGUCAUUACUGGAUCCAGUUUGAUGGACUGUGAAGUUGGGGGCUCUGUCACAAACAGUGUCAUGGUACAGAGACAUAGCUGUGAAACUGGUUCUAAUUUGACUCACUGUAAAGUUGGGGGUUCUGUUGAAAACACUGUCACUGAACUGCCUACUGGUGGUAGGUGUUACCUUCUUACAUCGCAUAGAUGA
rnacentral:lncRNA from 1 species